rnacentral:rRNA from 1 species
AACGAACGCUGGCGGCAUGCCUAACACAUGCAAGUCGAACGAGACCUUCGGGUCUAGUGGCGCACGGGUGCGUAACGCGUGGGAGCCUGCCCUUAGGUUCGGAAUAACUCCCCGAAAGGGGUGCUAAUACCGGAUAAUGUCUUCGGACCAAAGAUUUAUCGCCUUUGGAUGGGCCCGCGUUGGAUUAGCUAGUUGGUAGGGUAAAAGCCUACCAAGGCGACGAUCCAUAGCUGGUCUGAGAGGAUGAUCAGCCACACUGGGACUGAGACACGGCCCAGACUCCUACGGGAGGCAGCAGUGGGGAAUAUUGGACAAUGGGCGAAAGCCUGAUCCAGCAAUGCCGCGUGAGUGAUGAAGGCCUUAGGGUUGUAAAGCCCUUUUACCCGGGAUGAUAAUGACAGUACCGGGAGAAUAAGCUCCGGCUAACUCCGUG